GACGCUGCGGCUGCUGCCUCCGCUGCUGGGGAAUGCAGAGGCGAAUGCUGAUGUUGCUGUUGGACAGCCGCCGCCGCUGCUGCUGCUGCGGCAGCUGCCGCCGCCUC
rnacentral:sRNA from 1 species